GACGUAGGGGGCCAGCGUUGCUCGGAAUUACUGGGCGUAAAGGGCUCGUAGGCGGUGUGGCAAGUCGGGAGUGAAAUCUCUGGGCUCAACCCAGAGUCUGCCUCCGAAACUGCUGUGCUUGAGUGUGGGAGAGGCGCGUGGAAUUGCAGGUGUAGCGGUGAAAUGCGUAGAUAUCUGCAGGAACACCCGUGGCGAAAGCGGCGCGCUGGACCACUACUGACGCUGAGGAACGAAAGCUAGGGGAGCAAACAGG
rnacentral:rRNA from 1 species